AACGUAGGACGCAAGCGUUAUCCGGAGUUACUGGGCGUAAAGCGCGGGCAGGCGACUCGAAGCGUCUGAUGUGAAAUCUCCUCGCUCAACGGGGAGAGGCCAUUGGAAACGGUCGGGCUGGAGGGCAGUAGAGGUAGGCGGAAUUCCGGGUGGAGUGGUGAAAUGCGUAGAGAUCCGGAGGAACACCAGAGGCGAAGGCGGCCUACUGGGCUGCACCUGACGCUGAGCCGCGAAAGCCAGGGGAGCGAACGGG
rnacentral:rRNA from 1 species